CAGUCGCCGCGGGAAUACGUAGGUGGCAAGCGUUGUCCGGAAUUAUUGGGCGUAAAGGGCUCGCAGGCGGUUUCUUAAGUCUGAUGUGAAAGCCCCCGGCUCAACCGGGGAGGGUCAUUGGAAACUGGGAAACUUGAGUGCAGAAGAGGAGAGUGGAAUUCCACGUGUAGCGGUGAAAUGCGUAGAGAUGUGGAGGAACACCAGUGGCGAAGGCGACUCUCUGGUCUGUAACUGACUCUGAGGAGCGAAAGCGUGGGAGCGAACAGGAUUAGAUACCCGUGUAGUCCCUGUCUCUUAUACA
rnacentral:rRNA from 1 species